UACGGAGGAUGCGAGCGUUAUCCGGAUUUAUUGGGUUUAAAGGGUGCGUAGGCGGGUUAUCAAGUCAGCGGUAAAAUCGUGGAGCUCAACUCCAUCCAGCCGUUGAAACUGAUGAUCUUGAGUGGGCGAGAAGUAUGCGGAAUGCGUGGUGUAGCGGUGAAAUGCAUAGAUAUCACGCAGAACUCCGAUUGCGAAAGCAGCAUACCGGCGCCUGACUGACGCUGAAGCACGAAAGCGUGGGUAUCGAACAGG
rnacentral:rRNA from 1 species